GACGCACGCUGGCGGCGUGCCUAAUACAUGCAAGUAGAACGCAGUUGCGAACGGGUGAGUAACGCGUAGGUCACUGCCUAUUAGUGUGGGAUAACAAUUGGACACGAUAGCUAAUACCGCAUACUAAUAGAUGGACCUGCGUUGUAUUAGCUAGUAGGUAGAGUAAUGGCCUACCUAGGCAACGAUUCAUAGCCGAACUGAGGUGGUGAUCGGCCCGAUUGGGAAUGUGACAAGGGUCAGAAUCCGACGGGAGGCAGCAGUAGGGAAUCUGGGGCAAAUGGGGGAACCCUGACCGAGGAACGCCGCGGGAUUGAAGAAGGGUUUCGGAUCGUAAAGCUAUUUGGUUAAGGAAGCGGUACUUAACCAGAAAGGGACGGCUAACUACGUGCCAGCAGCCGCGGUAAUAC
rnacentral:rRNA from 1 species